UCUUAUUAUCUCUAUAAAAUAAAGAAUAUAAAAUGUUAACGUGGCUUAACCGUGAUCACAUAAAACAAAAAGGCGGGCAUGGAAAAUGAAAGUGCAAACAAUCCUUGUCAUUUUCCAUAUGAUAUGAUUCCAUGUCCCCACCAUCGUCUUGUCACAUGGCAUCGUCUUGUCACCAUCUUGUCAUUAUUUCUAAUCUGGUUCUAAUUCCAAGGGGAACAUCUUCGUGUGAAAAAUAAAGUAAAAGUUUCGGGCAGGACCUUAAUGUUGGGUUCAAUUUCUACAUUUAUUAUUUACAUUUUUUACUUUUAAUCUCAACCGCUUAUUUUCUACAACACUCAUUACCACGUGCUAUGGAAAAAAAAAAAGAAAUUGAAAAGUUUCUUACUUUUUCUUGCUUUGCCUAUAUUUUCAACAUUUAUGGGACCAUUCGUGUUUAGGAUUUGGUUUGCCUAUAUGUUCAACAUUCAUGGGACCAUUCUGCUUUGCCUAUACUUUCUUGCGUUAACCAAUUUUAAGUCAGGUUAACAUGUUUUUGCACAAAACUAAUUAAGAACACACUCGAGCUGCAUAUUUAUAUUGUCAAAUUAUCGAAUUUAAUGUCACAUAAUUAAACAAAAGUAUACGUUUAUCGUUCUUUAAUUUAGAUUAACAGUGCGCUCCCUCUUUUACAUCUAAAUUUGAACCUUCAUUCUUAACUUUGCAAUUUAGAUGAGUUUAAUAUAAAUUAUCUUAUCGUUUGUUAAAAAACUCAUUUCUUAAAUAAUUAGAUGUGAUAUGUUUAAAUGCAAAUUUGUAACAAAACAAUGGAAAAGAAUAAAUAAAAAUGCAUAAGUACAAAUGUUCAUGGAAGCAAAGGUCUCGAAAACAUAUAUACUCCACAAAAUCUAGCACUAGAGUAUUGAGCCUAGAUAAUAUAACCUCUUCCCCAAUACUAAUUUAUAGCUGAUUUAUUUUGUGAUUUAGUUAAAAUUGCCAAUUCUCAUUAUCCUAAUUUCAUCAAAAAUAAAAUUAGAUAAUACCUUUAAAUUAACCACAAAAAUAACAAAACCGCAUCAAAAUCCUAAUUUUCAAUUCCACUGCAGAGAGAAAUCGAGUAGAUCCCCAUAUCCCCCAAUAAAAUGAAACAUGCAAAUGAGAAUUCAAUAAUUACAACUCAAAUUAAUAGCUUAUGCUUUCAUAGACAUCUGAAUUAUUGAAAAUUUACCCAUGUAGCCCCAGUUAGUCGAAAUCGAUCGAGCAUGAGAGAUUUUCUUUCAUAGACAUUUGUUUUAUAGACAUCUGCUUUCAAACGAGCAUGAGCGACUCGUGUAAAACAAGAUAUAGAUUAAUUUCGACGACAUGCAUCACAUGGUAAACUAUUAGAAUUGGAUAUCUACUUUUCCCUACAAUAAUAAUGAGGUGUUGUUAUUGGAACUCACAAUCAAAAUAUAAUUAUCAUUCAUUUUUCUCUCUUCGUGGCCGAAGGACUAAUUUGGAUCAAGUAUUUGAAGUUGGGAAACUGAAAAUUGUUCUUGGCAAAGGCUGUUAAGAUUACUUCAUGACUGGUGAGUGGUGAGACGACUGAUAUUUUUCUUGGUCAAUAAUGCAGUGGACCACACACGGCAAACAUAAAGUAGAAAUUGGUGGAGGUUGGAAAAAUACAGUAAAAAAAAUCAUGCAAUAUAUUUGAAUUUCACCAUUUUUCCAUAUGAUAUAAUCACAUGGGCCCCACUAUUCUCUUGUCACCACCCUCUUGGCAUCGUAUUGUCACCAUCCUCCACGAUCCUCUUGUCAUUAUUCUACUCUUAUUCCAAGGAGGCAGAUUUUAUGUCUUUCUAUUUUUCGUGCCCUUCUAUACUUUCUUACUUGUAUAGUUACGGUUAAAUCACAUCAACAUUUUAUAUUAUUAUUUUUUUUAUCUUAUUAUAUUUAUAAAAAAAUUAUAUAAAAUAUUGACGUGACUUAACCGUGAUCACACAAAACAAAAAGGCACAUAAAGACACACAAAGUGGGAGGCCAGAUAAUCUGCCUCCUUAUUCCAAAACAUCUACAUGUAAAAAAAAUAUAAUAAGAUCAAUUACCACACGACAAUGAAACAUUGAAUAUCUCAAAAUUGCCCCUUUUAUUACAGAUUAUAAAAAAUAAAAAAAAAGUAAGGACAUGAUGGUAAAACGUGGCAAGGAGAGAAAGUGGAGGAAAGAAACUAGAACGUGCUUAAAGAAAUAAAAGUGUAUUUGAAGCAGUUGUCGUAUUAAUAUCUCAUUCCAAUAUCACUUCUCCUUGCGCUCCAACUUCUCCCGUUCCCUGCAUUCCUCCAGUUUCUCUCUAUGGGUCUUACUUUUCCAUACAAAAACGGAAUCUUUACCUUUAUCUCUUAUGUAAAAUAGAGCACCAAAAUGGGCAAUCUCAAAGUGCUGCAGAGAUACGAUCCCUUCAUCAAAAAGGUUCUGAUUAUGGCUGCCUACGUCACAUUCUACUAAUUCAACAUUGAGAACAAUCAAUGGGUUCGUUUCUCGAAUUGUAACUUCCAAUUAUCCGUUUGGUUGCCCAGAAAAAAAAAAAAAAAAAACACCACAAUUAAUUCUACGAACAACGGAAAUUUGAAAUAUGAAGUGUGAAUCAAUAGGUGGAAAUGUGACACUGAUGUUGGCAAACUUUAUGGUCUUCAAUCUUGAUAAUUUAUGCACACAUUGGAAUCCAUACUUCAUAUGUUCACUUAUAUUUGUUGAUCUCUUGGCACAUCUGUACUAAAUUGUUUGGUAUUAGCCAUUUUCUUUGAUUCAUAUUUCAAUUUUGUAAGUAGCAAGAAUACCUUAGUAAAUGAAAAUAUCAAAAAUAAAAUAAAAAUUGUAAACAGUGCCAAGCGCAUGUAAUUAUAAAAUUGUAAGUCAAUCAUAGCACGUCUGAUUAAAAGCCUCUAAUCCUACCCAUUGUUAACAAUGAUAAACAACUAACGCCACAUAUUUUAGGGGCACGUAGCUCCUAUGAUUUAAAAAUGUCUCUCACAUGAAGCGAACGGAACGUAUCAAAAUCCAUGCAACCUCCUAAUAAAAUUAAAGGAGCUUUAAUGAAAAGGGUUUGAGGCUAAGCUAUUAUUUAACCAAAAAAUCACCAUAAGCUAUUAUUUAACCAAAAAAGCUUCAUAUUUAAUCAUAAGGACAAACUAACUUAUAUUAGACCCAACAAACAGUAAAAGACAUGGGCUGAAUUAAAAGCCCAAAAUGCAAUAAUUUUUUUUUCCAGCCCUGAUUGUAGCAUUAAGUGAUUUGACUCUUAAAUAAAUACAAAAAUAAGCUAUUAUCAUCAAUGUUACCUAUUAUUCAUGUUUUAAAUAGGAAUGCAUCUUAUUAAUCAAGCAACAUGAAUAAAAUCAAAUUAAUCUUAUAGUUCGACUACAAAGCAAAAAUAGCACAUGAAAUUAAAAUUACGUAGUAGCAAUAUACCAUACAAGUCGCCUUGUUAUUUUUUUUAUACAAAUCAAUUUGGAAAUCUUAUUAUUUUUAUUCUCAUCCUGUAAUGUUGCACGAUUAUUUGAACUGUUUAUGUUUAGAUCGUCAUUUAAAAACCAUCUCUACAAAAAGCUAAAUGCAUUCAAAAGUUUUUGCUCAUGUAAUGAUUAUUCAAUAAUUCUUUUGAACACUGAAAUUAUAUUAUUCUAAAAUGGUUUGACGAUAUCUUGUUUGGUUCUUUUGUUGCAAAGUUGCUCUUUAAAUAGUGGCCUAGAUAACAUACGGUUUUGAUUCUUGAGUGACAUUGCUUGAUCACAAAAAAGAAAUGAGAUAGUAGAAAGAAAAAAAAAUCACAAUAGAUUAACCAAAAUAAUUUGGUUCAAAUUUACCUUUAACGAGAAUUAAACUUAAGAUUUCUCAUAUGAAAAUUGUAGUACUAGAAUGUGAAGUUUUUUGGUAAAAGAAAUGAAGGAAAUAAAAUAGCUGGCAUGACAUCAUACUCACCAAUCACGAUGUAUAUGUUCCAUACAUGUGGGGUCUUGGCCUUCCAUUUUUCCUUAUCCGGUCAAUUACUAAGCUAGGUUAGGUUCGGGCAUUGUUAGCAAGUGGUACAUUACAUUUUCAUGGAAGCAUAAUCACGACUCAGGAAGAGGAAAAAGGAAAUAAAAAGCCACUAGAAAUGUAUAUAUUUUCCCAUGGGUGUGUUGUAAGAUUAUGUAUAUUAUAUACAAAUUUAACCAUUAUGAGGUGAUUAAGUGAUUGGGAACGAAUUUUAGACCCAUAUUUUACACGGCAUGUUCUAGGUUAGAUUUUUUGCUCUAGUGAAUCAUACGAUGAUGGCCAGAGGGAUGCCGAAACACUUUUGUGAGUCAUUCUAACCCGGAAAGGGUGGACAUGGCAAAACCACUAGAUAGUUCCCUUUUUAAAAAGAUAAAAAAUAUAUAUACACAAAUUUGCUACACCAACUAGUAUCGAGAAGUCCACAUAAGGUUUGAUUACAAAAGUUAAACUUAAAAGCCGCAGACUUGGGUGGCUAGAGCAAUGUGCUUACUCUUUUGCACCCAAGUUCAAAUCUCCGUUUUCAUAUCUAUAAUUUAGAUGAAUUUAGUAUAGAUUAUCUUAUCGUUUUUUUUUUUUUUAAAUCCUGCUUCAUGAAUAAUUCGAUAUGAUAUGUUUAAACGUAAAACUUGAGUGAAACACAGUGAAAUGAUUAGAAACCAUCUUCACCACAAAUCUGUAACAUAAACAAUUGAAAAGAACAAGUACAAAUGUUUAUAUGAGAGAAGUUGUAAGGACUUGGAUUGUGAGGGUCAUCUCCACUUUGAAAGUAAUAGCUGAAAGUUGGAGGUUCAUGCAGAUUAAACCAUUGGCCAUUGACGAACACCUCAAAAGAGGGAUGAACAGGGAAACCAGCCCUGCUGAAAAUUUUAAGAACAAAAUUAAAAAAUAAACGGUUCAAAGUUCCGAUUUUGUUUUGCCAAUGAAAGUUGCAGGAACGUGAACUAUAUUGCCUCAAUCUUUUCCAUUCAUUUUCUUUGCACACCUCUUGUUCAGAGAAGAACAAAUAUUUUGGUGAUCCUCGGACAUGGCGGCAAAUCCUCUUCUGGCAGGAAUGCAAGACAAUCGAUGAUGCAUAGCUGUUGAGGUCCUUCUCCGGGCAGGAAUUCCGAGAUUGCAUGGUGUUUUGAUCCGCAGAUUUCAAACUUGAUCGUCCAGAGGGUGUGAGCGGAAGAGAGCCGCUGUUGUUUGAGCAAUGUCUCCAACAGAUCCUCACUUCCCCUGAUCUGAAAUUCUCCAAGGGAGACAUAGCAUAGUUCGAUUCCACAGUUAAAAAAUACCCGAUAUUAUAAAUGCAAAUAUAGACAAGGUAAAAUGAAGAAAGAAAAAGAAAAGAAAGGUAAAUUAUAAUUUACAAAUCAUCAGUGUUCAACCGAGAAUCGAUAUAUAUCCUUCUGGUGAAAUCUGUAGCGUAACAACCAGCCUCCUUGUAUAGUAACGCGAUGUACUGGCAUUCGACCAAACACAGUUAAGUGGUGCUAAAUACAGAUAAGUGUCAAAUUAACUUUGAAGACAAUCAAUUUUGUUGGAAAAUUUGAGGACAAUCAAUUUAACAUAGCAACAGAUAAGUGGUACUAAAUACGUACCUGGCUUUGUCUUGAGAGUUGAGAGUUGGAGAGAGUGAAAUUAAGGCUCAUAUGGUGAUUUCAUCAUCUAUCUUUAUGCAAGGAAUGCGAGAUAUGUUCUCCAAUCUUUUCCCUUCUUGUUCCGAUACCUCUUCUUCAGAGAACCCCAGAUGCUCAGAUAAGAAAGAGAUGCCGGCAAACUGCAAACUCUCUUUCGGCAGGAAUUCAAGACUCUCGCAGCUUGAAAUUCGUAGCUGUUGAAGAGAAGUGAGGUGCUCAAGUCCCUUUCCGUUCAAAGAUUUCAGAUUUGAAAGUAUAGAGAUCCAGAGAGUGUGAAGAGUGGCAGGGAGCAGCUGUUCCCUGAGCAACGUCUCCAACAAAUCCUUGUUUCCUUGGAUCCGAAAUUCUCGAAGAGAGGCAAGUUCUUGCAAUCCCCACUCCACUGAAGGCCUCAUUCUCUCACAAUUUUCGAUCCAAAAUGUUUGUAGGUUGGGAGGCGAACCCCUUUGUGCAGGUGACACCAGAUAUGGAAGAUUUUGUAUCCACAAAUGUUGAAGGGCGGUGAGGGUGUGCAUUAGGGCCGGCAACAACUUCAAAUUCUUGCAUUUGGCUGCACAGUCCUGCCAACAACAACAACAACUUCAAUGCAGAAUAAUGCUUCUCCUUUCGCUACAGUCCUGCCAAUGAUAGAGUGGAAUUACUCUCCACUUCCACAGCAGCAGCCUCCAAAUCAGCUGCCAUCGGCAGCCAAUGACGUAGUGUUAUGGCCUAAAAUGUACGUGGUAGAGAAAAAUGAACCCCCGUGUGCACACUUGGCUGCACAUGAAUCAGGGCUGCACAUGAAUCAGAAAAACAAAUACUAUAUAUUAAGAGAAACAAUGAAUGGACCCCUUAGCGACUGGGAAAUCCUGCUAUGUGCGAUAAUGUACAUGAAUCACUACCACGGUUGAGUUGGUACUUACCAAGAAGGUUUCUAAAAAUUUGAGAGCCCGCUGCUCCAACUUUCACCAUCAAACUUGGGUUAAGGCGUAUCAUCGUCUAUUUCUCCACGCCACCUUCCUCUAGAGCAGUUAAUGAAUCAAAUGAUUGCCUGAACAUAUAGUGACCAAAUCUGCAAUGUUCAAAUAAUUUUUUACUUCGUUUGUUAACUUGCUAUGCGAGACACAUGACAUCACACAGGCUAAAAUAUAGAAAACACACCUCUGAGUCCAGAUGCAACUUUGAAUAUUCUCUUGAUUGCUCAUGAAAUCCACAAUGGCGAGAAGAAUGCUAAUAUAUAGAAAACAAGCCGACAAAUACGUUAGUCCCAUCGUGUUGUCCUGACUGAUUGCAUGGUUGAAUUACAUUGAUACAUCGUGUUGUCAGAUAGUGUUGAAGAAGAAUACUUGUCACAAUCAUCAGAUUCAGAUGAGGAGAUUGGUGAUUCUUCACAAGACGAAAAAGAACCAUUCGAUGUUUUUGAUCGUUUCAACGGUGAGCUUCAUAACCUCUUCACAGAUACAAAUUUGGAAACAAAGGCGACGUCGGAAGAGGCACCUAAUCAAACGCAUCAUAUGGUAGAAUUAGAAGAUGUGGAGCAAUUUGAUUUCAAGGAUAUUGGAAAAAACAAGAAAAUGUUAAAGUACAGUAGAAGGAAAAGGUCGGCUUGCGUAUCAGUCAAACGUGAGGCUCAAGAUCAAACUUCCAAAUUUUUGUCAAAGAUGAAAGUUUCAUUGUUUCCUCUGAAAAUGUCUUUAUUCCAUGAAAUGAAGACUGGGAAAGUUAAAGUCAGUAAGAGUGAGGGUGGAAGCAAGGGAGACAAGAAACUUCAAAGGGGUGUUAUCAGACUUAAUGAAGAUAAUUAGCUGGAAUGUUAGAGGAUUGGGAAGUAGACAGAAGAGACUGACAUUGAAACAGCAGUUUUGACGUUUACAGCCCGAUAUCAUUAUAUUAUAAGAAACUAAGAAAACAUCAAUCGAUAGGAGGCUUGUGGCUAGCGUGUGGGGAAGCAGAUUUAAAGAGUGGAUUUUCACCCCUGCUCAAGGAAGUUCUGGGGGCAUAACAGUAAUUUGGAACACCAAACACAUCUCAGUUACUGAAUCUCUGGUUGGAGCUUUCUCUGUCUCCAUAAAAAUUAAGGCUCUCAACGGGUUGGAAUGGUGGUUAUCAGGUGUCUAUGGCCCUUGUAAAAAUAGAGAGCGUAGAGAGUUCUGGGAAGAAAUGGCUGGCCUUUACGGCCUGUGCGGACCAAGAUGGUGUGUAGGAGGAGAAUUUAACGUGGUGAGAUUCGUAAAUGAGAAAUAAAAUGGGGGAAGGUUGACUACAAGCAUGAGGAAUUUUAAUGAUUUCAUUCGAGAAACAGAACUCAAGGAUUUGGAAAUGCACAACGCUCAAUUUACAUGGUCAAAUUUCAGAGAAGAACCUGUGUGUCGGAGGCUAGACAGAUUUCUGCUCUCUGUAGGUUGUGAAGAGAUUUUUCCAGAGGUAAGACAAAUGGCUUUGGCAAGGGUCAUCUCUGAUCAUUGCCCUAUCCAGCUAGAUUCCAACAAGGUGAAAUGGGGGCCAAGUCCUUUUAGAUUCGAAAACAUGUGGCUACAACAUCCAGAUUUCAGGAACAAGUUCAACGUAUGGUGGCAAUCUGAGCAGGUGGAGGGAUGGGAGGGUUACAAGUUUCUGUUCAAGUUAAAAGCCAUAAAAAAAAAGGUGCAAGUAUGGAGUAAGGAGAGUUUCGGGGAAGUCGAGAAAGACUUUAAAGAAGCCGAGGCCAGCUUAGAAGAGUUAGAUAGGAGAGAGGGGACGGAUGGGCUAGAUGUUGAUGCUAGAAGAAAGGGGGAAGAACUACUUUUCCUUGUGGGAGAUCUGGCUUACAAGGAAGAAGUGAAGUGGAGGUAGAGAAGUAAAGUGGAAUGGGCAAAGGUAGGGGACGGUAAUACUAAAUUUUUCCAUCGAGUUGCAAGUGGGAGAAGGAAGAGAAACUAUAUAGAAAGGUUGGAACCGGAUGUUGGGGGAGUGAUAGAGGAUGCGAAAGAGAUAGAAGAACAUAUCGUCAAUUUCUUCAAGUCCCUGUUUAGUAGCAACGAAGAGGCAUGUUGGGGCCUGGAAGGUAUCAAUUGGGCCCCAAUAAGCGAAUUUGAGGCAGAUUGGCUUGAGAGGCCUUUUGAGGAAGCCGAAGUUCAAAGAGCAGUUUUUGAUUGUGGAAAGGAUAAAUCGCCAGGACCGGAUGGCUAUUCUUUGCAAAUGUUUCAGCAUUGUUGGGAUAUCUUGAAGGCAGACAUUAUGAAGAUUAUGGAGGAGUUCUAUGACACAGGGAUAAUAAAUGCGGUGACAAAUGAAACUUUUAUUUGUCUAAUUCCGAAGAAGUCAGAUUCUUUGAAAGUGACAGACUACAGGCCUAUAAGUCUUGUUACUGGUUUGUAUAAAAUUAUGGCGAAAACCUUGGCCUCAAGAUUAAAGGAGGUAUUGGGCAGCACAAUUUCUCCAAAUCAAGGAGCGUUUGUUAAGGAUCGACAAAUUUUGGAUGCCAUCCUUAUUGCAAAUGAAGUGGUAGAAGAGGUCAGGCAAAAGAAAGAGGAGGGAUUGGUGCUCAAAAUAGAUUUUGAGAAAGCAUAUGAUCAUGUCGAGUGGAGAUUUUUGGAUGAAGUCUUACAAAGAAAAAUCUUUGGCAAUAGAUGGAGGAAAUGGAUGCAGGGAUGCUUAAGUUCGGCAAAUUUCUCCGUUUUGAUCAACAGGAGGCCUAGGGGAAAAUUUCAAGCGUCAAGAGGUUUGAGACAAGGUGACCCACUGUCACCUUUUCUUUUUACCUUAGUAGUCGAUGUCUUGAGUAGGUUAAUGGAGAAGGCUCAAGAAAAUCAUCUCAUCAAAGGUUUAUGCAUUGGGCAAGAAAAGGUGGAGAUUUCUCAUCUUCAAUUUGCAGAUGAUACCAUUUUUUUCUUGGCGGAAGAUGAGGGAGUUUGGAACAAUCUAUUAGAGGUGCUCAACUUAUUCUGUUCUGUUUCAGGGUUGAAAAUCAACAAAGCUAAGUGUUAUUUGGCUGGAAUAAACUCAGAUUGUGAGAAAUUAAAUAGGUUGGCAGAUUCUUGGGGUUGUGAGGUGGGUAGCUGGCCUAUAAAGUAUUUGGGACUCCCUCUUGGGGGUAGGCCAAGAGCACUUAAGUUUUGGGAUCCAGUGGUAGAAAGAUGGAAAAAAGACUUCAAAGCUGGAAGAAGGCCUUCUUAUCUACAACAACAACAACAACAACAACAAAGCCUUUUCCCACUAAGUGGGGUCGGCUAUAUGAAUCCUAGAACGCCAUUGCGCUCGGUUUUGUGUCAUGUCCUCCGUUAGAUCCAAGUACUCUAAGUCUUUUCUUAGAGUCUCUUCCAAAGUUGUCCUAGGUCUUCCUCUACCCCUUCGGCCCUAAACCUCUGUCCCGUAGUCACAUCUUCGAACCGGAGCGUCAGUCGGCCUUCUUUGCACAUGUUCAAAAUCACCGGAGCCGAUUUUCUCUCAUAUUUCCUACAAUUUCGGCUACUCCUACUUUACCUCGGAUAUCCUCAUUCCCAAUCUUAUCCUUUCUCGUGUGCCCACACAUCCCACGAAGCAUCCUCAUCUCCGCUACACCCAUUUUGUGUACGUGUUGAUGCUUCACCACCCAACAUUCUGUGCCAUACAACAUCGCUAGCCUUAUUGCCGUCCUAUAAAAUUUUCCCUUGAGCUUCAGUGGCCUACGACGGUCACACAACACGCCGGAUGCACUCUUUCCAUCCAGCUCGUAUUCUAUGGUUGAGAUCUCCAUCUAAUUCUCCGUUCUCUUGCAAGAUAGAUCCUAGGUAGCGAAAACGAUCGCUUUUUGUGAGCUUCGCUAGAUUGCUCCGGUCAUUAGUGUGGAUAAGUAUAUAAAUGGAUAGAGAUAGGAAAGCAAACACAAGAUGUACGUGGUUCACCCAGAUUGGCUACGUCCACGGAAUAGAAGAGUUCUCAUUAAUUGUGAAGGGUUUACACAAGUACAUAGGUUCAAGCUCUCAUUUAGUGAGUACAAGUGAAUGAUUUAGUACAAAUGACAUUAGGAAAUAUUGUGGGAGAAUGAUCUCGUAAUCACGAAACUUCUAAGUAUCGGAGUGUGGUGUCGUCUUGACUUGCCUUAUCUGUCUCAUAGGUAGAUGUGGCAUCUUCUCUGGAAGUACUCUUCCUCCAUCCAGGGGUGGUAUCUUUAACUGGUGGAGAUGCACAAGGUAAUGUAUCAAUUUCACUUGAAGCUUACUUGUAGUUUCAGGCUUGGUCAAGCGCGAUACAAACCAUGUAGUAGGAGUCCCCCAAGUCGCCGAGCUAGGGGGUCUGCUGAAAGAGGUGACAGACAAGGUAAGCAAUCAGAGCUCCGACUGAUUGUUCACCUUCUCCCCAUCUUGCAGCAGCAUGAAGGAUAAAGAGAAGAAAAAUGAGAAGAGAUGAUAUGAGAUACUUUUGCUUUUGAAGAAGUAACUUUCCACAGGCUUAUUCUUGAACUGAGCUGGAGGGUUUUCUGGUUUCCUCCAGAGUAUAAGGCCGACUGAAGAAUUUGAGGGUCAAAACAAGUCCAUCAAAUCUAGAGUACGUUCCACCCUGCUGAUAUGGGAUACUUUUGCUUUUGACAGAGUAAUGAAUGUAUCGGCACGUGUGCUGUUACGCUUGUCUCCACAUGCUUCCUUGUAUCCUUCGCACUUGCCCUAUCUGUUCCUCAAGCAGAUGCGGAAUCUUCCCUGGAAACAUAAGAUGUUGAAGAUGAGUACUCGAGAGCAAUGCCAGGUAAGUAAUCAGGUAAAAGGGUUCCAGGCAGUCAGUUCCUGGCUGGAAGCUUGAUUCCAAGUGCUGACUGAUUGCUCUCUUUCUCCUUGUCUUGCAGGUAAAAACAAGGCCAAAAGAAAAGACAGGGAAAAAGCAUGAUAUGGGAUACUCUUGCUUUUAACCCUGAUGAUAUGAGAUAUUCUUGCUCUAGUAUAGCUUGUUUGCAGAGGUAUUAUCGGGGGGAAAGAAAGCUGAAUAUUUCGAAAGGCUUCGUUGGGAGUGCCCUCUCAGAUAUGAUGAAGGGUUGAGCAUUUUUGCAGGUCUGCCUAUCCGUUGGGGAUGGAGGUCGACAUAUAUAGGAGUCUCCCUAACAACAAGUAGUAAUGCUAUUCCUUUUACCCUGCUUGGUCAUAGCACGGUAGUGGGAGCUGCCAGUUUCACAUGUUUUAACUCUGUCAGAGCACUUUGAAAAAAGUGGUCUGUGGUAUCUGGCUCUCGAGAUUCGGAGAACGAUGCCUCUUCGAUUUUUGAGAAAGCAAUCAUGCUGGGGGUAUGACUCUCGAGAUUCGGAGAGCAGUGUCUCUUCGAUUUUUGAGGAAGUAAUCAUGUUGGGAGUCUGGCUCUCGAGAUUCGGAGGGCGGUGCCUCUUCGAUUUUGGAGCAAGCAAUCUUGUUGGGAGUGUUGUCUCGAAUGUGAGUAGUAAAGGUUGGGCAUGUUUGCUAGUCUACCUUGCCACGAAGCACAAAGGUUGACACACAGGGAAUUUCCAAUUAUCCAGCAAUGGUACUGUUCCUUUACCCUCUCUUCGAUUUUGAGAAAGUAGUCAUGUUGGGAGUCUGGCUCUCGAGAUUCGGAGGACGGUGCCUCUUCGAUUUUGGAGCAAGCAAUCUUAUUGGGAGUGUUUUCUCGAAUGUGAGUAAAGGUUGGGCAUGUUUGCUAGUCUACCUUGCCACGAAGCACAGAGGUUGACACACAGGGACUUUCCAAUUAUCCAGCAGUGGUACUGUUCCUUUACAGUUGUGGGUAAUAAUAUGGUAGCUAGACCUUCAAAAUUUAUGUGUCUAAACUUUUUAGUGCUGUUUCUUUGCUAUUCUUUUACCUUUCUUGGUCAGAGCGAUGUAGUGGGAGCUGCAAGCUUCACGUGCUCAACUUUGGCAGAGAACUUUGGCAAAGUUAUUUGUGGUACCCAUGAGCUAUUGUUGCGUGUGGGAAGUGGGUGAUUGAACAGUAAGAUUCAUGUGCUUUCUACUUCACCAGAAGUCUUCGACAGAAUGCCCAUAAUUUCUGCAAAGCUGAGUGUGCGUGUGACAGGUGCUGACAAGGCUAGAAAAGUAGGUGCCUCUUCGAUUUCUGAGAUCGGCCCUCGUGGUCUCUGAGCAGCCCAGCUUUUGAGAAAGCGAGCGCCUCUUCGAUUGAUUCGGAGAACGAUGCCUCAUCGAUUUUUGAGAAAGCAAUCAUGCUGGGGGUCUGGCUCUCGAGAUUCGGGGAGCAGUGUCUCUUCGAUUUUUGAGAAAAGUAAUCAUGUUGGGAGUCUGGCUCUCGAGAUUCGGAGGGCGGUGCCUCUUCGAUUUUGGAGCAAGCAAUCUUGUUGGGAGUGUUUUCUCGAAUGUGAGUAAAGGUUUGGCAUGUUUGCUAGUCUACCUUGCCACGAAGCACAGAGGUUGACACACAGGGACUUUCCAAUUAUCCAGCAAUGGUAAUGUUCCUUUACCCUCUCUUCGAUUUUUAAGAAAGUAGUCAUGUUGGGAGUCUGGCUCUCGAGAUUCGGAGGACGGUGCCUCUUCGAUUUUGGAGCAAGCAAUCUUAUUGGGAGUGUUUUUCUCGAAUGUGAGUAAAGGUUGGGCAUGUUUGCUAGUCUACCUUGCCACGAAGCACAGAGGUUGACACACAGGGACUUUCCAAUUAUCCAGCAGUGGUACUGUUCCUUUACCCUUGUGGGUAAUAAUAUGGUAGCUAGACCUUCAAAAUUUAUGGGUCUAAACUUUGUUAGUGCUGUUUCUUUGCUAUUCUUUUACCCUUCUUGGUCAGAGCAAUGUAGUGGGAGCUGCAAGCUUCACGUGCUCAACUUUGGCAGAGAACUUUGGCAAAGUUAUCUGUGGUACCCAUGAGCUAUUGUUGCGUGUGAGAAGUGGGUGAUUGAACAGUAAGAUUCAUGUGUUUUCUACUUCCCCAGAAGUCUUUGACAGAAUGCCCAUAAUUUCCGCAAAACUGAGUGUGCGUGUGACAGGUGCUGACAAGGCUGGAAAAGGCUGGAAAAGUAGGUGCCUCUUCGAUUUCUGAGAUCGGCCCUCGUGGUCUCUGGGGAGCCCAGCUUUUGAGAAAGCGAGCGCCUCUUCGAUUUUUGAGAUCGGCCUUCGUGGUCUUUGAGCAGCCCAACUUUUGAGAAAGCAAACGCCUCUUCGAUUUCUGAGAUCAACCCUCGUGAUCUCUAAGCAGCCCAGCUUUUGAGAAAGCAAACGCCUCUUCGAUUUCUGAGCAGGCGCCUCUUCGAUUUCUGAAGCUUCGUCGAGUGCAGAUUUUUUAUAGGGGCUGGCAUUAAGUUCCAAAGCACACUUGAAUCUCCACCAGUAGAAGCUUCAUUCUUGCACUUCUAAGAUCUUGAUUUGUCCGACCUCUUCUCUCUUUCAACACCUUUGAAAAUGUCUGGCCCCUCCGACCGUCGUUUUGACUUGAACCUUGUUGAAGAGGCAGCCCUGCCUUCUCCAGACAACAUAUGGCGCCCAUCCUUCGUCUCCCCUACUGGUCCUCUUACCGUUGGGGAUUCCGUGAUGAAGAAUGAUAUGACCGCUGCGGUGGUGGCCAGGAACCUUCUCACUCCCAAAGAUAACAGACUACUUUCCAAACGGUCUGAUGAGUUAGCUGUUAAGGAUUCGCUGGCUCUCAGUGUUCAGUGUGCAGGUUCUGUGUCUAAUAUGGCCCAACGCCUAUUUGCUCGAACCCGCCAAGUUGAAUCAUUGGCGGCUGUGAAGUGAUGAGUCUCAAACAGGAGAUUAGAGGGCUCAAGCAUGAGAAUAAACAGUUGCACCGGCUCGCACAUGACUAUGCUACAAACAUGAAGAGGAAGCUUGACCAGAUGAAGGAAACUGAUGGUCAGGUUUUACUUGAUCAUCAGAGAUUUGUGGGUUUGUUCCAAAGGCAUUUAUUGCCUUCGUCUUCUGGGGCUGUACCGCGUAAUGAAGCUCCAAAUGAUCAACCUCUGAUGCCUCCUCCUUCUAGGGUUCUGUCCAGUACUGAGGCUCCAAAUGAUCCCCUUCCGGUGCCUUCUCUUUCUGGGGCUCUACCGACUGCUGAGACUUCUCCUAAGCAACCUUUGUGAAGGCUCCCUCUUGUGUGCUUAUUUUGACUCAUGUAUAUGUACAUAUUUGUAGCUUAUCGGGGAUAUCAAUAAAUAAGCUUUCCUUCAUUUCAACGUAUUGUGUUAAAUACACCAAAGCCUUCUUUCGCUAAGUUCUUUGAAUUUUCUUUUUGUUAAAGCUUGUAUGUUGAAGCUUUCUGAGUAGAGCAUGUAGGUUGGGGUAGUGUUCCCUUAAUUUCCCGAGUGAGGAAAACUUCUCGGUUGGAGACUUGGAAAAUCCAAGUCACUGAGUGGGAUCGGCUAUAUAAAUCUUAGAACGCCAUUGUGCUCGAUCCUGUGUCAUGUCCUUCGUUAGAUCUAAGUACUCUAAGUCUUUUCUUAGAGUCUCUUCCAAAGUUUUCCUAGGUCUUCCUCUACCCCUUCGGCCCUGAACCUCUGUCCCAUAGUCGCAUCUUCUAAUCGGAACGUCAGUAGGCCUUCUUUGCACAUGUCCAAACCACCGUAACCGAUUUUCUCUCAUCUUUCCUUCAAUUUCGGCUACUACUUUACCCCGGAUAUCCUCAUUCCUAAUCUUAUCCUUUCUCGUGUGCCCACACAUCCAACGAAGCAUCCACAUCUCCGCUACACCCAUUUUGUGUACGUGUUGAUGUUUCACCGCCCAACAUUCUGUGCCAUACAGCAUCGCCGGCCUUAUUGCCGUCCUAUAAAAUUUUCCCUUGAGCUUCAGUGGCAUACGGCGGUCACACAACACGCCGGAUACACUCUUCCACUUCAUCCAUCCAGCUUGUAUUCUAUGGUUGAGAUCUCCAUCUAAUUCUCCGUUCUUUUGCAAGAUAGAUCCUAGGUAACGAAAACGGUCGCUCUUUGGUAUUUCUUGAUCUCCGAUCCUCACCCCUAACUCGUUUUGGCCUCCAUUUGCACUGAACUUGCACUCCAUAUAUUCUGUCUUUGAUCGGCUUAGGCGAAGACCUUUAGAUUCCAAUACUUCUCUCCAAAGGUUAAGCUUUGCAUUUACCCCUUCCUGAGUUUCAUCUAUCAACACUAUAUCGUCUGCGAAAAGCAUACACCAAGGAAUAUCAUCUUGAAUAUGUCGUGUUAACUCAUCCAUUACCAACGCAAAAAAGGUAAGGACUUAAGGAUGAGCCUUGAUGUAAUCCUACAGUUAUGGGAAAGCUUUCGGUUUGUCCUUCAUGAGUUCUUACGGCAGUCUUUGCUCCUUCAUACAUAUCCUUUAUAGCUUGGAUAUAUGCUACUCGUACUCCUUUCUUCUCUAAAAUCCUCCAAAGAAUGUCUCUUGGGACCCUAUCAUACGCUUUUUCCAAAUCUAUAAAGACCAUGUGUAAAUCCUUUUUCCCAUCUCUAUAUCUUUCCAUCAAUCUUCGUAAGAGAUAGAUUGCCUCCAUGGUUGAGCGCCCUGGCAUGAACCCGAAUUGGUUGUCCGAAACCCGUGUCUCUUGCCUCAAUCUAUGCUCAAUGACUCUCUCCCAGAGCUUCAUUGUAUGACUCAUUAUCUAGAGGAGGUAAAUUAACUCUGAUUCAAUCUGUUUUGGGAAGCUUGCCGAUCUACUACAUGUCUUUGUUCAAAAUUCCUUGUGGGGUGAUUGGACGCCUAGAAAAACUAAUGAAAGGGUUUUUGUGGGAAGGUGUGGAGGAAGGAAAGAAAAACCACCUGUUAAAAUGGGACAUAGUUAUUAAAGGUAAAGAGGAAGGAGGUUUAGGGUUGGGGAAUUUGAGGAAUCGGAACGAAGCAUUACUUGCUAAGUGGUUGUGGAGAUUCCCAAAGGAACCUCAUUCCCUCUGGCACAAGGUGAUAAGAAGCAAGUAUGGGCUACAGAAUAACGGAUGGAAUGCAUUUCCUCCGAUGAGGGGUUCAAGUCGUAGCCCAUGGAAAGAUAUUUCGAGUGGUUCCCAAUCGUUUCUUCAUUGCUGUAAGUUUGAGGUGGGCAACAGGGAGAGGGUGAGGUUUUGGGAGGAUGGGUGGUUAGAAGGAGGACCAUUGAAAGAGCAAUUUCCUAGACUAUUCUUGCUAUCGAGGAUGCACAAUCAGAACAUUUCAAGUUUUGUGGAUCUUUCUACCAAUUCUUUGAGUUGGAAUUUUGAUUUCAGGAGAAAUUUGAAUGAGGCGGAGAUAGAAGAGGCGGCUAGAUUAUUACAGAAAGUGGAAGAGGUUCGCUUAUCUCAAUCAAGAACGGAUAACAGAAGGUGGAAACUGGAAGCAUCAGGAUUGUUCACAUGCAAAUCCUAUCGCUCCUUCUUGAGUAACAAUGGGAUUAUGCAAUAUUUUCCACCUUAUUCACAGAUUUGGAAAUCAAAAGUUCCUCCGAAGGUCAAAAUUCUUGUCUGGCUGGUGGCCAAAGGGAAGCUCAACACUUGUGACCAAAUUCAAAGGAGAAGCCAUUUUAUAUGCUUAUCCCCACAUUGGUGCAGUUUGUGCAAAGCUAGCGAGGAGAGUGUAAACCAUAUUUUUCUCCAUUGUUCUUACACGAUUCAAUUGUGGUGGAAAUUGUUUCAGGAGGUUAGAGCUAGUUGGGUCAUUCCAAAAGGUUGCUUCGAGCUUCUAAGCACCAAGUUUCAGGCCCUAGGAAUUGGGAGAAAAGCCAAAGUUUUGUGGGGUUGUCUGGUCUCGGCAAUUUUUUGGAACAUAUGGCUGGAGCGUAACAAAAGAAUUUUUGAGGAUUAUACGGGUGUGGGGGUAGAAGCACUUUGGGGAAGAGUAAAAUAUUGGGCAGCCCUAUGGGCUUCAGUCUCAAAUGAUUUUAAUAAUUACUCUCUUUCUCAAUUACUAUGGGAUUUGUUAGCAGCAGUAAAGUGAGUUAGGUCUAGCUAUUAUUGCUGUAGCCAAAUCCUAUUGAGUGUUUUUCUUGUAUCUUGUAAAUGGUGGAUUUCUUAUCCACUUCAGUGUAUUUCUAUUCUCUUUUAUAAAAUGUUUGUUUCUUCUCAAAAAAAAAUAAAGGAAGAACAAAUUACACUCUAGUGUUCAACUACGUACACUGAAAUCUGUAGGCGCAGCAGCUAGCCACCAAGUCUAGUUACACUGGCAUUCUAGCAAGCGGUGCCAAUAAACAUAUGUAUAUGCACCUACCACAAGAUGACAUAGGCAUUGAAAGAUGAGUAAGCAUUCCGCCAUAUGAAAACCACAGAAGUAUAUAUAUGCACAAGUACCUGAGUGGUUGAUGUAAGCAAACAUCGUUUUCCCUCUGAUACAUUCAAUCUUUAUAUAGCUGUUCAAGAGAGCUGAGGUCUGGAGGUCCCUGUCGCAGCAGGAAUUGCGAGAGUAGGAGAUGUUGAAAGUCCAUUUCCGUCCAAAAGAUUUCAAACUUGACAGUCCAGAAAAUCAGAGCACCAUUUGAUAAUCCUAUCUUUACAGGUUUGCUUGCUCGCUGCAUCUAUGAAACCGAUGUAUCACACCUACCAGAAGAUUAGAGUUAUGUCGCAAAAAAGAGAAGUAUGAGAAAAGCAUCAUCAAGGGUUUUAUCUCUUGUCAUGCAGGAGAAUCAUAGAUAUCGACCCCAAGUAGUUCCUUCCCGUCCAAAGAUUUCAGAUUCCAUACAUAAGAGAUUUUGAGAGCGUGAAGAGUGGCAGGGAGCAGCUGUUCAUUGAGCAACGUCUCCACCAGAUCCUUGUUUCCUUCGAUCCAAAAUCGUUGAAGAGAGGCAAGUCCUUGCAAUCCCCACUCAACUGAAGGCCUCAGUCUCUCACAAUUACCGAUCCAAAAUGAUUGGUUGGGAGGCAAACCCCCUUGUGCAAAUGACACCACGUUUGGAAGAUCGGAUAUCGACAAUUCUAAACCUUAACAAAAGGAAUAAGUGGUGUUGAUUCCAAGUGGUGAUGCUUCAUGAUUCUAAAACUUAUUAUGUAGUAUCAAUCGGUUCAUCAAAUUCAAAGGUUUGUGAUCUUACCACACUUCCUUGAAUGCAGUGCAGGGGUUCACCUACCUCUUGCUCUGAUUCAAUUCCGUUUAGUCCAGGAUCCAUUUUUUACUUCAGUACUCUAAUCUUUCUCUUUCUCUUCAUUUCGACAGCACUAUCCCAUUUUCCUGCACCAUCAUAGAGGUUCAACAAGAUGUUAGUUGCACUAUCUUGUGAGUCUAAACUUAAACCUGCUCUGCUGCACGAGCUUAGUAACGCUCUCCACAAUCCAAGAUCAUUUCCAUUAAACGGUUAACUGAUAACAAGUUCCCCUUCUGCAUCCAAUAAUCAACUUGACAAACUAACCAUGCAAGGGUAGUGCUUAGGCCUAGGAAUCUGAUUCUGAUUCAACCUCAUUUCAGUUCAUCCUCAAUUCAAUUCCUCACAAUCUGAUUAAGGAUUAGUAAACGAGCCAUUCUAUGUAUUCUACUCCAAUUCCAAAAGCUCUAUCUUCAACUUCCUGUAAAAAAAAAUUAAGAAACUUUUGGGCAUGACUUCAACUCUGUGUAGCACUUAAUGUUACAAGUGUAUUAGUCGUUAGAUUUAAUUUUCACAAUUAUUACAUUUUAUAUUUCCUAUUCUGAUUAUUUAUUUUCUGUAACACUCAGUACUUGUGAUAUUGUUGAUGGAAGUGAAGCGAAAACAAAAGUGGGGGAGUGUUGGAGCAAGGUAACCAGUUAUUACAGUGGCCGAAUAACAAGAUCCAGAAGUUCAUCCCAGAACCCAAAUGACGUUAACAAUUAUCCGAAGGGUGAUGGCUGUACAAUCCAUCUUUCCACUGGAAAGUCAACACAACCACCUCAGCCUUUAAGUACCAGGUCACAAGCUGUGCAUGGUACUGAAAAAAUAGUGAAAGACGCUAUCACCAAUAUAUCUGGUCAAAGAAUUAAUCAGUCAACAUCUUCUUCAUCUAACAAGUCUCAUGAUUCACAGAGAACUCAAAUAUCUGCUGGAAGGUCUGUUCCAAUUCAAUGUGAUAUAGACCUGUGUGCAGAGAAUUCAACAGAUUCUUCAGACAAGGAAAAUGAUGCAGAUCACUAUGCUGGUAGAAAGAUAAGUGCAGAAACUAAUUGUACUACUGAAGGAAUGUCAAAACCGGUCAAUUCACAGGCUUUGGUUCACAGGGGUACACAGUCCAGAUCCGCCUGCUUCAAGCAAGCAUUUGUCUGAAAAAAUGACACAGAGGGGUACACAGUACAAAGAGGUACCUUGUACUCAAACCUGUGAAUUUGUUAAAGCUGCAUCUGGUGGAGAAACAGAAAUUGAUCCUGAUGUAUCUGUUGAAGGUUCUGGAUCAAAAUUGGAUGGUACUGGGGUUAGAGUUGGAGUGGAAGUUUUAGCCUCAAGGCAGCCUGCUGAUUGUAAUGUGCUUGUGAAUCCCAAGCAACUUAAUUUUGAUGAUGUGGAAGAAUCCUGUAGGAAUGGAAGUUAUACUCCUGCUUUUAAUGAGGGAAUGCAGGGAAGAUCAUCAGAGAAAAGGUCUAUUUCCUUGAUGGACGCUGAUGAUAUACAGGAAGAAGGAAAGACUGUCAAUUAUCAAGAAAAUCAUAACUCGUCCCUGCCAAUGAAUUUUCUUGGGGAUCUGGAAGUUUCAGUCAAAGGGAAGGACCUCCAGAGUGGUCUAUCUGAAUCUCCUGCAGAGGAGGAUAGAAGUGUCUUGAAUGGAAAUGCUGUCUCAUCAGUAAAGGAGACAUCUGAUGUUCAUAAUGAUGCAGUUGCUAAUACGUUGCUAGAGAGCGGCAAUACAGACUCUUGGUGUGUAACAACCCGUCCCGGUUAACUGUUUUACGGACUUUGAAUCAGGAGGGCAGAAAUGUAAUUUCAUGGAAUUGGGAGUUUUGUUUUGAAAUGGGUUGUUUUAGUUCUUAAAUGGUGUGCCCAAGGUGGGGCCCACCCCUGUUUUGUCCCCCCGGCCUCUUCCCUUCGCUGCCACAUGGCAGCCUCCCCGAGCUCUUCCUCAACUCUCUCUUCUCUCAGUUCACUCACUCUCACACUCUCACUCUCGAAUCUCUCUCAGAGCUCACUCUCUCCCUUUCCCCUUCCCGAUCGACACCCACACACCCAGACACCCCCACACCCAAGGAGAAUCACCGACGACGACACCACCACACUCACCACUGUGAUAACACACACUCUCUCUCUCUCCCUCCUCACCUCUGUGGAACAAUGAGAACCUCCGGCGAACCCGUGGGUUUCGAGCAAGAAUUUGACCACCUCCGGCCACUUCACAGUGUGAGACAGGUACCAAACGCCCCCUUUCGUCUUUAUCUACUUUUUCGUACCUAUAUUGUAGCCUAGGGUUUAGUUUCGACGCAAUCGGACCUCGGGAGGCUCUGGCCUUCUCUCCUCGUUGAGAAACAGGCCUUCAAGCCCAAACCCACAGAGCCAAGACCUUUGGGCCAAGAAGCUUAGGGCCUUUGGCCCAUUGAAACAAAAACCCAAAAUCCUUUUGAAAUUAGGCCUUCGGGUCGAGUGGCAUGGGCCCUUGGCUCAAUCCUUGGGCUGGGCCUUAAGCCCAAAACCCUAAACCCAAUGACCCUAAACCUUUUUUCCUUGGGCCGGGCUCUAAGCCCAAAACCCUAAACCCAAACCUAUUGGACCCAAGCCCAAGAACCCUAGGCCCAACCGUAAGCCCUAAACUUGGUUAAUCCGAUUAACCCGACCCGAACCAUUGACUAUGACCAAACCUGGUCAAUGGUUAACAUGGACUUUGACUUUGACCGAUCAAAGAUCAACGUUGACUUUUUAACCUUUUUUUUCAGGUUUUUGUUCGGAACCCUUCCUAGGCUAAUUUCGACGUUCUGGAUCCAUUUCCAACAUCCAUUUUCCCAAGUUCAAUCGUUUGACUGUAGUUUUAUUAAUUGGACCUUUUAUGUGCUUAGGUGCAUAUAUUGUGACGUUUCCAUUUUUGCUAGCUUGCGCGGCUUUUCGACGGCAAAGUACUAUGAGUGAACCCUUUCUCAAAUGCAUGGUUUAAUAGUAGAAAUGCAUACAUGAAAAACAGGAUUUAAUGACUACGUUCGCUUUGAAUUUUUUAUUAUCAUGAUAUACUGAGAAUAUUUUGGAAUACCAUAUUUUAUCAUACUUAUGUUCUUUGUAGUAUAUAUGAUGGAUGACUAUAUACUAUUUAUGAACAUGUUUUUACACUUCUUUAUAUAUAUGAUGGAUGACUCAAAUGGGAUGAAGCCACAUCCUACUCCAAUGGCUCAAAGUCCUCGCCCGCACGAGCUAAAACUGCACAAGGCAUCAACCGCUCCAAUGCCUUAAAGUCCUCACCCACAUGAGCUAAAACUGCACAAGGCAUUAAAAGCUCCAAUGGUUUAAAGUCCUUGCCCGCAUGAGCUAAAACUGCACAAGGCAUUAAAUGCUCCAAUGGCUUAAAAUCCUUGCCUGCACGAGCUGAAACUGCACAAGGCAUCAAACCCCAACAAAACACAUAAAGAACUACGAGUGACUUGAUCCCUCAAUGAGAGUACGUAGGCAAUCUAGGGCUCUACCUAAACGCAGUCACAAAAUCAAAUAAACACCCAAGUUAGGAUUUAUUCAUAUUAGAAUCAAAGGGUAUUCCUUUCCCAAAUGAAGGGUUGUAAUUAAUAGGCGCGUAGCCUAGAAUGGGUCAAACUCGAAUUAAUAAAAAAAAUGAACGAAGGUGAAACUGUGUCAAGUGAAUUAUUUAUUUACAUAUUGUGUACAAUUCUUUUGCUCAACAUGUAAAUUUCAAAGACUGCAAGCAAAACCAAGUUUUCUGUCUUUAGUUUUCUUUCAUUACUUUUUUUAUAUCCAUUUUCUAACAUGUCAUUACAUAAUCUGAUUGUGUGCUCAUCUCUUUUUAAUUGUAUUAUUGUAUCAGGCAAAGAAAACCACAUUUAUGGCAAGGACUUUAUGCAGAACGGGCAGGGAACCACCAAUAUUUUGGUGGAUCUGCCAAAUGCCUUAAUUGUUGCUGGAGAUUCAAGAGUUACAGCAUAUUCCGGCGAAAGUAAUAUUUCUUUAUCUUUAACUAACAAAUUGAUUAUUAUUUAACUAUGUUUAUUGUAUAUGUAGUAUAUUAAUUGGUUCUAAUUUAUGUAUACAGUUAGACCCGAAGAAAAGAAAGUUAAACACAUUUCUAAGAAUCCUCCAAUACGAGCAACAUGGUGUCAUGAUCAAUAUGAACAUAGUCAAACCUGUGAAGUGGAAGAGGGAAAAAUAGGCGAAUUUUCAAGCAAGGAAAGAAGCAUUGCUCUCUCCUAAUGGACUCUAAUAUAUUCCUUGUGAAUAUAUGUCCUAACAUCUGAUGCGCAUCACAUUGAUCAUGACACCAUGUUGCUCGUGUUGGAGGAUUCUUAGAAAUGCGUUUAACUUUCUUUUCUUCGGGUCUAACUAUAUACAUAAAUUAGAACCAAUUAAUAUACUACAUAUACUAUAAACAUAAUCAAAUAAUAAUCAAUUUGGUAGUUAAAGAUAAAUAAAUAUUACUUUCGCCGGAAUAUGCUGUAACUCUUGAAUCUCUAGCAACAAUUAAGGCAUCUGGCAGAACCACCAAAAUAUUGUUGGUUCCACGCAUGCUCUGCGUAAAGUCCUUGCCAUAAAUGUGGUUUUAUUUGCCUGAUACAAUAAUACAAUUAAAAAGAGAUGAGCACACAAUCAGAUUAUGUAAUGGCAUGUUAGAAAAUGGACAUAAAAAAAGUAAUGAAAGAAAACUAAAGACAGAAAACUUGGUUUUACUUAGAGUCUUUGAGAUUUUCUGUUUAAUUGUUCUCGUCAAAUUGCUUGUCUACUUUUAUUUGGUCUUUUAUAAUGUAUAAGAUUGUGUUUGAUAGGGUGAAUAUACUGAUGAACUGAACGUAGUCAAACCUCCUGAUACAAGUCCCUGUGAAGUGGAAGAGGGAAAAAUAGGCGAAUUUCAAAGCAAGGAAAGAAGCAUUGCUCUCUCCUAAGAGGGAAAAAUACCGACUAUACGGACUACAGAAAAAUUACUGCUACUUUCAUUGUCAGAUGGCAUCAGUAGUGUUUUUAACUUUUCUUUAUCUUUAUCCCUACCAUAGGGACAGAAUCCUUCCUCAACUACAUAAGUUGUGGGAGUUCUUUGUGAAACCUUGAGCCCAAUACCUUCUCUAAGACCAAGGUGAUUUCGCUGUUCUGCAAGGUGUUCUAACCUCUGAAAUAACUCCUCUAUCCUACCAUUCAUGCCAUUGUAAUUAAAAGGAAUACGAGAGGUAGAGAGGAAAUUGCACACCUGGGUGUGCUUAGUCUGAUCUGCCGACGCAAAGCUUCAAUAUCCAUCUCAUCCACCAAGUCCUUGGUAUCGAACACAGCAUCUUUGACUCGUCAAGCCACAUCCCCACAGCAGGGUUGACAAUCUGCUUCUCUUCUGCAUCGUUGAGCACUGCGUGGAGGGUCAUCAACGUCACCUUUAGCUUGUCCACGAGUGAAUGGUUGAGUCUUCUUGCCGGAAGAAGUUCACAAACUCUCCGGAGGCAAUCUUGUCGCACAGCACCUGGAUGGAACCGAAGAGCAAAGCCUCUCCAACCAAAGCCAUUUUCUCUCUUCGUGGCCAAAGGACUAAUUUUGAUCAAGUAUUUGAAGUUGGGAAACUGAAAAUUGUUCUUGGCAAAGGCUGUUAAGAUUACUUCAUGACUGGUGAGAUGACUUGAUAAUUUUUUGUCAAUAAUGCAGUGGACCACACACGGCAAACAUAGUAAAAAAGAAUCAUGCAAUGUAUUUGGAUAUCAACAUUUUUCCGUAUGAUAUGAUCACGUGGACCCCACCCAUCCUCUUGUCACCAUCCUCCACCAUCCUUUUGUCAUUAUUUCUACUCUAAUUCCAAAGCAUCUUCGUGUGAAAAUAAAGUAAGAGAGUUUCGGGAUAACCUCAAUAUUAUGUAUCAUUUAAUGUACUGUAUUAAUAAUUGGACUCAAUUUCUACAAUUAUUAUUUACUUUUUAUAUUUUCAAGCUCAACCUCUUAUUUUCUACAACACUCAAUACCACGUGCUACGGAUAUUUUUUUUUUUUGAAAAGUUUCUUACUUUUUCUUGCUUUGCCUAUAUAUUUUCAACAUUUAUGGGAUCAUUCGUGUUCAGGAUUUGGUUUGCAUAUAUAUUCAACAUUCAUGGGACCAUUCGUGCUUUGCCUAUAUUUUCUUCGGUUAGCCAAUUUUGUGUCAAGGUUUCCAUGUUUUUGCACAAACUAUUAAGCAAACACUCUAGUUGCAUACUUAUAUUGUCAAAUUAUCGAAUUUGAUACUACAAAAUUAUACAAAAGUAUACGUUAUCGCUCUUUAAUUCAGAUUAACAGUGCGCUCCCUCUUCUGCAUCUAAAUUUAGGGCUGGUUCGGUAUAGGAUACCGAACCGAAAUCCUUGUCCCAAUUCCCAAACCGAAGUUUUCGGGAAUCCCAAUUUCAAGACCAAUCCCAAACCAAAAUUUCGAGAAUCCCGAAAUAGUUUCGGGGAUUUCGGGACAAAUCGGGAAUCACGAAAUAGUUUGGGCUUUUGGGCAUGUGAGGAAACAAUUAAGGAAACAAUGAAGAUAAAGAGAAUUAAAGAGUAUGAAGAUAAAGUACUAACCUUAACUCGUAAACCUUAAGUACUCAAAAGGUCUUCCUAAUCCAAUCAAACGGCUGCAAAACAAAAUUACAAAAUAUUAGACUUAAUUGUUAGAUUAAUAACUUAUAAAGGCAAAAUAACAAUGAUGCAAACAUAGGCUCUGGGAAAGUGCAAAAAAACAGUGGCUGACGAUUUUAAUUCUUUACCUUUACAGGAUUAUGAUCAUCUGCUAAUGAUUGUAAUUCUUUCACACAGAGCAAAUUAAAACAAAUCUCCAAUUGUGCUACUCAGUACCUAAAACAGUAUAGCACGAUUUUGAAAUUAUAAACCGAUUAAAGUUUCAGCAACAAGCAGAUUACUCAAUCAGAAAACACAUUCAUCAGGAUUUGAACCCAUGGGAAUCGGCUGUAAUUAAUAAUUAUCAAUAACUAAAAGCAAUGAACCAGAAAUUCUAGCAAAAAUAAUUCGCAAUUGCAGAAAUACAGUAAAAUCUGCAUUCCAAUCAAACAGAGGGCAUGGAAAAUCGAAGUGUGGAUGGGAAUUUACAGAGCUGGACGAGCCAAACUAAAUUUCAGGCCUAACUAGUAACUACAUCAUUAUUCAGACACAAUCCAAAACAAUACUGCUAUGUUAUAUAUUGUAAACAAAAUUAGCUUACUGUAACUCAACCAUUGAAGCCCACCAAUCCCCCUAUAAUCCAAAACAACACCUUUCUCCUGCAGGUCCUGCACUGCACCCACCCUAAACCGGAACCUAUCCAACCUGAAACCCUCCCAAAAACCUGCACCCAAAUCCGAAACCCACAGUCCUCAAACCCUCACACAUUCGACAAAAUGCUCGGAAAUCAAGUUAAUCAACAUGAAAUUUGACCUUAAACCCUAAAGAAAAACCCAGUGAAAAUCAGAAACCCUUACCUGGAUUUUGGGUCUCGAUUCGUGUCGGACUCGCAUCUUCCUGCGUCUGUGUGUGUGGCCGGAUGAGCGCCGUUGAAGUGGACGGAGGAGCGGCGUUCGAACUGGACGGGCUUGACGGAGGACGGGAGGAGCGCUGGAGCGCCGUUCGACCUUUGUUCUUCGAGAGAGUGAGAGUGAGUGAGCGAUUGAGAGAGAGAGGGGGAAUUAACUUACAAUGGACGGUAGGAUUUAAUCUUAACCAAUCUAACGGCCCAAGUAAUUUCUAAUUAUAAAUUAAAAAAAAAAAA
rnacentral:lncRNA from 1 species